AGUGAACGCUGGCGGCAUGCCUUACACAUGCAAGUCGAACGGCAGCACGGGGGUAACCCUGGUGGCGAGUGGCGAACGGGUGAGUAAUGCAUCGGAACAUAUCCUGUCGUGGGGGAUAACCCAGAGAAAUCUGGGCUAAUACCGCAUACGAUCUGAGGAUGAAAGCGGGGGAUCGCAAAACCUCGCGCGAUUGGAGUGGCCGAUGUCGGAUUAGCUAGUUGGUGGGGUAAAAGCCUACCAAGGCGACGAUCCGUAGCGGGUCUGAGAGGAUGAUCCGCCACACUGGAACUGAGACACGGUCCAGACUCCUACGGGAGGCAGCAGUGGGGAAUUUUGGACAAUGGGGGCAACCCUGAUCCAGCCAUGCCGCGUGGGUGAAGAAGGCCUUCGGGUUGUAAAGCCCUUUCGGCCGGGAAGAAAUCCCUAUCGUGAAUAGCGGUGGGGGAUGACGGUACCGGAAGAAGAAGCACCGGCUAACUACGUGCCAGCCGCCGCCGUAAGAC
rnacentral:rRNA from 1 species